rnacentral:tRNA from 1 species
GGUUGUGGCUUAGUGGUUGAGCGCCUGCCUAGCAUGCAUGAAGCCCUGGGUUCAAUCCCCAGCACCA